UACGAAGGGGGCUAGCGUUGCUCGGAAUCACUGGGCGUAAAGAGCGCGCAGGCGGUCGUUCAAGUCGCGUGUGAAAGCCCCCGGCUCAACUGGGGAGGGUCACGCGAUACUGAUCGACUGGAAGGCAGGAGAGGGUAGUGGAAUUCCCGGUGUAGUGGUGAAAUGCGUAGAUAUCGGGAGGAACACCAGUGGCGAAGGCGACUACCUGGCCUGUUCUUGACGCUGAGGCGCGAAAGCUAGGGGAGCAAACGGG
rnacentral:rRNA from 1 species